AACACGUUUGCAUUGAAAUUGACAGAUAUCAACAUUUCUUGUUUUUAUGAGCGCAAAAUGCUUUUCAGAGCGUUAGAAUCACUUUUUGAUCACUUCAAAUUGUGGAGUUUGGCCCUAUAACCCUUUGGUGAGCUUAGUAACACGUUUGCAUUGAAAUUGACAGAGAUAUCAACAUUUCUUGUUUUUAGGGUUAGGGUUAGGUUAAGGGCAACCUACCACUUUUCUAAAACGUUUUUUUGGACCUAGCUCGGGCAAACAGCGGGGCGUGGGAAUUCCGAGACCACACUCGGAUAGCUCUAGCCCCAGCGGACUUUUUUGGUCCUGGUGAACCCUCGGCAUAGCCACUAAUGUAGGCUAGGGUGCGAAAAUUUGAAACUGGCUAAAAGGCGUAAAUACUAAGUCCCGGGUGCACCCUCGGCCUAGUCCCUAAUGUGGGCGAUAUUUUAGAAAUUGGCAAAUUCCUGUGUUCCAUACACCUCACAACCCCAGGAAAUGCUAAAACAAUUACAAAAUAACCUGCACCUCAAGAAAAUAGUACCAGGUAUUUUAACAUUGUUUAGUUUUAAAUAAAGCAAAAAAACUUACCUCAGAGUAGUCCUCCGUCUUCGUUGGUUCAUUUUGGUAUGGUAACUAUGAAGCAGAAGGGAGGGAAUUGUAUCUAACGCGUGUGAGAGAAAUACCGUAGAGCUACUUCGAGCCCCAGGCUCUCUGCGGGUCUGGCUAACAGCUCUGCACUCCAAUCUCUCUGUCGAGCUUGAUAGGGUCAAGUGGGCGUGGCCGGUGCGACGUAAUAGUUCCUCCCUCCACGCUUGUCUAAAGGUGCUGCCAUCUGUGGCCGGAGUAGUUAUUGCAGCUUAUGUGUUCGAUCCUGCUUCCUAGUGGCUAUGUGAGGGUUAUGCAGCUUGUCUGUUCGAACCUGCUUCCCAGCGGCUAUGUGGGGGCAGCUUAUGUGCUUAAAAUACGUAACAAUAUCAUUCUAAACAAAUACAAAAUGGUCACCAAGGUCAAGGCCACCCUCCCCACACCACACUCUACAAACAUUAUCCGAGAGCGCCCCAUAUUGGACAUAAAGUAUAACUUUGCAACCGUUAAGUAAAUACGAUCUCAUUCUAAAUAAGUACAAAACGGUUACCAAGGUCAAGACCCCCCUCCCCACACCACACUCUACAGACAUUAUUCGAGAGCGCCACCUAUUGGACAAGGAUGCAAUUCAGGUCUAUAAGUAACAAGACAAGAAAAUACAAUUCACAAUAAGUGCUUUUGGUCUGUCAUAUUUUGCAUAUUGUAAUGUAAUAAUAAUUAUAACAUAACAAAGGGUUCUCGUCUUCAUUUCCGACGAGAACGGCCGGUCAAAAGCGUUGAUUUCACGGGGAUUCGAUCCGACGCUUUGGGUGUCUCUGUUGUCGUUCGCUGAUUGCUGGGUUGUAAAAAAAAAGAAGUUCUUUAUCGACGCGACGAGUGACGUGGGUUUUUUUCCUCUUUUCUGUCGGAUAAAUAAAGAGAAGAACGUUUCUUAGCCACGUUAUAGGAAGGUUACCGUUCUUCACUAUCGGGGUCCAGCCCGCGGCGCAGCCGCAGGACGGUCCCCUUUGGCGCCCCCUUCCGGCCACCGCACCUCUGUCCCGUCCCGGUCCCGGCGGGCACCUCGGACCGGGAAUUCGUCCGGUCCAACCGACGGUUCGGGGUCGAAAUUGGAACGCAUCGUCGGCUUUAAGCAGAGGCCGAAAUCGGAACGACCGGAACGAAACGGAACGCACAGGGUCAGGUCGGGACACGGGUGGAAACGCCCAUGUCGAGGGACCGGUGCCGUUAUAAACAAGCAUUGUCUAAUUCAACCUGUGUCCGUUAAACAAGCGUUUGUCUAAUUCAACCUGUGUCCGUUAUUGCAAUACAUCGCUUGUUUAUCAAAGAAGGCUUUAUUUUCAAUGCAUUUGUUUAUUAAAGAAUGGCUUUAUAUUCAAUGUAUUGCUUAUUAAAGAAGGCUUUGUUUUCAAUGUGAUUGUUUCUUAAAGAAUGGCUUUAUUUCGAGACGCUUUUAAUGUAUUGCUUUUUUAUUAUUCAACUAAACAAAACAUUUGUUAUCAUUGUUGUUGUGGACUUGUUGCUUAAACUAAAAAGAAGGGACAAGCGUGUGUAAUACAAAUAGAUUUAUUAAAUAACAACAAGCACAACACAGGAGGGGGGUUCCCGGGGAGGAGCAGCCUCACACUCUGCCGGGGCUGUGUUCCUCUCCAAGGUCUGACGCCGGGCCCUUCACCCUCCUCUCCUCCCGCUGCUUCCUCUGCUUCCUGGUGAACGGAUUUCAACGUCGAAUUUUAGUUCUUUAGCCACAGGUCUACGCCUUUGCCGACGUAGAGGGAGCAGAAACUCUCCCCCUCUUACCGACUAUGGCCAAAGUCUUUCUGCGCCGGCUGGAGGCACCGCUGGUAGAUCUGCAGCUAGUGCGGUUUGCGUCCAGGGGAAGAGGAGCCGCCGACCUGCCCCUCCUUCCUGCGGGCGAUGUUCCACAGGGUGGUCCUGGGCACCUUCCCGGCGUCCUCCAGGGCCUGUUGGCUGAUGAGCCACUCACGAGCGGUGAGGCACCCAGGGCCCGCCUCCGACUCGCAGUACACGCUGCUCUUGUAGAGCGCGUGCCCCGUGUCCAGGGUCCUGGGUUGGGCGCACGUGGGGCAGGGGUCCCCCGUCUGGCAUUGGGGCUUCCCCUUUUGCUCCUCCAGCACCCGGGUGUCCUGCCUCAGGUGAGACUUGAAGCGUGGCGCCCCCCUGUGCUUCCUCUUUGAUGGAAGAGGAGGAGGAGGAGCAGCAGCGCUGUCGGACUCUGAACACAAGGGACUUGUAGGUCCGGUGUGAGUGCACCCUGAACCACACCCGCGCGUCGCCCAGCCCCCUGGUAGACACGGAGCCCUCGCACAACCUACGCCUGGCGACGGCCUUCACCAUGGGUCGAAACAGCCCGGCGUUGGAGGCAUCAGAGGUGCGAAGGGGGUGAGCUCAGAGGAAGGGGGUUCGAACCGGAAACGGGGAACAAAAGACAUUUCCUGAAAGACAAGAAGAAACAAAACAAGUCAGUCAAGUGUAUUAAAAUGUACUAAUUGGGUGUUAAGAUAACAAUGUUGAUAUCAAUGUUAAUGUCAGGAGAUCAGCCCAUUAGGCAGGCCCGCCGCUCCCUAUACGCAGAGUGCUUAGCUCACCAAGUACCUGGGGGGGACUCAAUUUCGGCAAAUUAGAGGUUUUUACCCAAUAUAUAAAAAGAGGCCUAUAACCAUUAGGGGUGUUAGGGUAAUACUGUUAUUGUCAAUAGAACAUUAGGUUUAGCCUGAGAGUGACCUGUUGCCCUCCACCCACUCUUAACACCUCUCAUUUGCAAAUCACGGUUGCA
ensembl:lncRNA